GGCUGUGUGGUCUAGUGGUAUGAUUCUCGCUUUGGGUUCGAGAGGUCUCGUGUUCGAUUCUCGACUCAGCCC
rnacentral:tRNA from 1 species